rnacentral:rRNA from 2 species
UGUUUCGGCUAGGGGGCCAUCCCGGCUUACCAACCCGAUGCAAACUGCGAAUACCGGAGAAUGUUAUCACGGGAGACACACGGCGGGUGCUAACGUCCGUCGUGAAGAGGGAAACAACCCAGACCGCCAGCUAAGGUCCCAAAGUCAUGGUUAAGUGGGAAACGAUGUGGGAAGGCCCAGACAGCCAGGAUGUUGGCUUAGAAGCAGCCAUCAUUUAAAGAAAGCGUAAUAGCUCACUGGUCGAGUCGGCCUGCGCGGAAGAUGUAACGGGGCUAAACCAUGCACCGAAGCUGCGGCAGCGACACUGUGUGUUGUUGGGUAGGGGAGCGUUCUGUAAGCCUGUGAAGGUGUGCUGUGAGGCAUGCUGGAGGUAUCAGAAGUGCGAAUGCUGACAUAAGUAACGAUAAAGCGGGUGAAAAGCCCGCUCGCCGGAAGACCAAGGGUUCCUGUCCAACGUUAAUCGGGGCAGGGUGAGUCGACCCCUAAGGCGAGGCCGAAAGGCGUAGUCGAUGGGAAACGGGUUAAUAUUCCCGUACUUGGUGUUACUGCGAAGGGGGGACGGAGAAGGCUAUGUUGGCCGGGCGACGGUUGUCCCGGUUUAAGCGUGUAGGUGUGUGUUCCAGGUAAAUCCGGUUCACUUUAACACUGAGGCGUGAUGACGAGGCACUACGGUGCUGAAGCAACAAAUGCCCUGCUUCCAGGAAAAGCCUCUAAGCAUCAGGUAACAUCAAAUCGUACCCCAAACCGACACAGGUGGUCAGGUAGAGAAUACCAAGGCGCUUGAGAGAACUCGGGUGAAGGAACUAGGCAAAAUGGUGCCGUAACUUCGGGAGAAGGCACGCUGACACGUAGGUGAAGUGAUUUACUCACGGAGCUGAAGUCAGUCGAAGAUACCAGCUGGCUGCAACUGUUUAUUAAAAACACAGCACUGUGCAAACACGAAAGUGGACGUAUACGGUGUGACGCCUGCCCGGUGCCGGAAGGUUAAUUGAUGGGGUCAGCGCAAGCGAAGCUCCUGAUCGAAGCCCCGGUAAACGGCGGCCGUAACUAUAACGGUCCUAAGGUAGCGAAAUUCCUUGUCGGGUAAGUUCCGACCUGCACGAAUGGCGUAAUGAUGGCCAGGCUGUCUCCACCCGAGACUCAGUGAAAUUGAACUCGCUGUGAAGAUGCAGUGUACCCGCGGCAAGACGGAAAGACCCCGUGAACCUUUACUAUAGCUUGACACUGAACAUUGAGCCUUGAUGUGUAGGAUAGGUGGGAGGCUUUGAAGCGUGGACGCCAGUCUGCGUGGAGCCGACCUUGAAAUACCACCCUUUAA